rnacentral:rRNA from 1 species
CUCAGAACGAACGCUGGCGGCAUGGAUUAGGCAUGCAAGUCGAACGGUGUAGCAAUACACAGUGGCGGAAGGGUGAGGAACACGUGAAUAAUCUGACCCUCGAAAGUUUGGGGAAUAAACUUUUCCGAAAGGAAAGCUAAUACCGAAUGUGGUGUUUUAUCGCAUGAUAGGACAACUAAAGAUUUAUCGCUUGAGGAUGAGUUCGCGUCCCAUUAGCUAGUUGGCGGGGUAACGGCCCACCAAGGCAGAGAUGGGUAGCUGGUCUGAGAGGAUGAUCAGCCACACUGGGACUGAGACACUGCCCAGACUCCUACGGGAGGCUGCAGUCGAGAAUCUUCUGCAAUGCGCGAAAGCGUGAACCAAAGCAAUGCCGCGUGCCGGAUGAAGGUCUUCGGAUUGUAAACGGCUGUCACUCGGGACGAAAAAUGACGGUACCGAGGGAGGAAGCCACGGCUAACUACGUGCCAGCAGCCGC